GCAAACCUCCCUCAAGGGAAGAAUCCCAAGUCGCUGCAUUACAGUCAACGCUUCGUUUUUGACCAAAAACGGAAUUGACCGGCUGCAUCGCCUGGCCCAAUCCACCAGCCUAGGCCCAGAAAGUUCUUUGUACUCAGGAGGAAGAAAUAUGGCUACUGAGAACAGCCUAAAGGGGCGAAUGGAUGAGGGGGCCACAACAGAAGAGGACGCCCAGUGAGGAGGCUCCUGUGACUGUCCAGGACCCAGUCCAAACUCCUUGGUCCACUCUUCCGAAGAAUCUAUUCACCGGGCCCCAAGGGCAAGGCACUGCAAAGGAGAGCUGGAGCUGGUUGCUGUUCUGGCUCUGAGACAUCAACAAGCUACAUGACGCACUAGCCUCUCAGCUGAAGACACUCUCACUCAAAAUGCCCGAUAGAUCCACACAAAGGAACAGUAUUCAGCCAUAAAAAGGAAUGAAGUGCUGACACGUGCUACAAUAUGGAUGACCCGUGAAGACACGAUGCUACAUCAAAGAGAAGCCAGAACGAGCAUCAAAGACCGUGUCUUAUGUGA